AUCCAAGAUAGAAUCUUAGUUCAGCCUUAAGUUUACCCACAGAAUAACCCAAUCCCUCUGUAAACUUAAUUGUUAGUCUAAAGAGGGACAGCUCUUUAGACACUAGGAAAAACCUUACAUAGAGAGUAAAAACCCCCGUCACCAUAGUUGGCCUAAAAGCAGCCAUCAAUUAAGAAAGCGUUCAAGCUCAACAUUAACCACCUAAAAAAUCCCAAACAUACUAUUGAACUCCUUAAAUCACAUUGGAUUAAUCUAUCACCCCAUAGAAGCAAUAAUGCUAGUAUAAGUAACAUGAACUCUCUCUCUCCCUACUGCAUAAGCCUAAACCAAACCAAAACCCCACUGAUACUUAACAGCCCAGUACUAACAAACACAAACAAGUCCAUACUACUCUUACUGUUAAUCCAACACAGGCAUGCUUUUAAGGAAAGGUUAAAAAAAGUAAAAGGAACUCGGCAAACUUAGCCCCGCCUGUUUACCAAAAACAUCACCUCUAGCAUUACUAGUAUUAGAGGCACUGCCUGCCCAGUGACACACGUUUAACGGCCGCGGUACCCUGACCGUGCAAAGGUAGCAUAAUCACUUGUUCUUUAAAUAGGGACUCGCAUGAAUGGCAACACGAGGGUUCAGCUGUCUCUUACUUUUAACCAGUGAAAUUGACCUAUCCGUGAAGAGGCGGACAUGAAACAAUAAGACGAGAAGACCCCAUGGAGCUUCAAUUUACUAAUGUAGCUAAGAAUCGUAUAAAUCCACGGACUCUAAAACUUCUAUGCCUACAUUAAAAAUUUUGGUUGGGGCGGCCUCGGAGCACAAACAAACCUCCGAGUGAUCCACGCCAAGGCCUCACAAGCCAAAGCGAACUAAUAUUCACAAUUGACCCAAUAAUUUGAUCAACGGAACAAGUUACCCUGGGGAUAACAGCGCAAUUCUAUUCUAGAGUCCAUAUCAACAAUAGAGUUUACGACCUCGAUGUUGGAUCAGGACAUCCUAAUGGUGCAGCAGCUAUCAAGGGUUCGUUUGUUCAACGAUUAAAG
rnacentral:rRNA from 1 species